rnacentral:rRNA from 1 species
UACCCUAUUAUUAAGAAUAAAAAAUUGUAAGUAAAUAUUAAUUACGAAAGCAAAAAAUUAUGGCGGUAUUUUAAGCUUUUCAGAGGAAUUUGCUCUUUAAUGGAUAAAACACCUAAACCUUACUUAAAUUAGUACCUUUCAGUUUGUAUACCACUAUUAUAAUAAUAAUUUGUUAUUAUUAUUAAUAUUCUUAAAUUAGAAUAAAAUUAAGUCAAGGUGCAGCAUAAAUUUAUGAAUGAAGUGAAUUACAUUUCUUUAAAGAAAAAUGAAAUUGAAAUAAAACAUUUAGGAUUUGAUAGUAAAGUUAAAAUAUUAUGUUAAUUUGAAUAAAGCUCUAAAAUAUGUACAUAUCGCCCGUCACUCUU